UACAGAGGUCUCGAGCGUUGUUCGGAUUCAUUGGGCGUAAAGGGUGCGUAGGUGGCGCUGUAAGUGGGGUGUGAAAUCCCGGGGCUUAACUCCGGAACUGCAUUCCAUACUGCGGUGCUUGAGGACUGGAGAGGAGACUGGAAUUUACGGUGUAGCAGUGAAAUGCGUAGAGAUCGUAAGGAAGACCAGUGGCGAAGGCGGGUCUCUGGACAGUUCCUGACACUGAGGCACGAAGGCCAGGGGAGCAAACGGG
rnacentral:rRNA from 1 species